rnacentral:rRNA from 1 species
AACGAACGCUGGCGGCAUGCCUAACACAUGCAAGUCGAACGAGACCUUCGGGUCUAGUGGCGCACGGGUGCGUAACGCGUGGGAACCUGCCCUUAGGUUCGGAAUAACUCCCCGAAAGGGGUGCUAAUACCGGAUAAUGUCUUCGGACCAAAGAUUUAUCGCCUUUGGAUGGGCCCGCGUUGGAUUAGCUCGUUGGUAGGGUAAAAGCCUACCAAGGCGACGAUCCAUAGCUGGUCUGAGAGGAUGGUCAGCCACACUGGGACUGAGACACGGCCCAGACUCCUACGGGAGGCAGCAGUGGGGAAUAUUGGACAAUGGGCGAAAGCCUGAUCCAGCAAUGCCGCGUGAGUGAUGAAGGCCUUAGGGUUGUAAAGCUCUUUUACCCGGGAUGAUAAUGACAGUACCGGGAGAAUAAGCUCCGGCUAACUCCGUG